CUUUACUUUGCUCUGCUUUGGAUCAGAAAAAUCUCUAAACCCAUCCGAGAGACUUUUUUGUGGCCAUGGCAGCCUCUCUCCAAUCCGCCGCCACAUUCCUCCAAUCGGCAAAGAUCGCCACCGCUCCUUCUCGCGGCGGUUCUCACCUCCGGUCUACUCAGACCGUCGGCAAAUCUUUUGGGCUAGAAACUUCUUCUGCUCGCCUCACUUGCUCCUUCCAAUCUGACUUCAAGGACUUGGCCGGAAAAUGCUCCGACGCUGUCAAAAUCGCCGGAUUCGCCCUCGCCACCUCUGCUCUCGUCGUCUCGGUAACUUUCUUUUAUCACCUACUCCUCUUCUCUCACAGAUUCAAGAGAAGAAUCGAAAACAGUGAAGAAAAGAAGAGUUGUGUAAUGUGUGUGUGUGUGUGUGUGUGAUAACAUAGUUCCGACUUUGAAUUUAAAUUAAACCGAAACACACAUAACAGAACAUCUAAACCAAUAAUUUUUAGAUUAGCCUAAUAGAAUGCGUAAACCAAUAUUCCUAUUCUUGUUUUUAGAUAUGUGUAGAUCCAAUCGAUAAAAAAUAUUCAUAGUUGUAAUCUUCAUUAGUCCCAAAUUUGUAAAUGCUCUCACACACCGAUUUUGAUGUUAUAUGAUUUUACAAAUUAGAAAUCAUAUAGGGAUCAACUUGUUGAAUUAAAGUUGUUUCUUUCUCUUGUAAUGGAAGGGAGC
rnacentral:lncRNA from 1 species